AAUGAUUGGGUUUGCAACAUAAGGUCGGAACACAUUUUAUUCUGCCAUUUGUGCCUCAUGCAGGGGCAUUAUGGUGGUGCACUCCCCAAGCUUGAUUCUGCUUCUCUUCAGUAGGAACAUCAUUUCUUGGUGAAACUGACCACAUCCAAAUUACAGACAAAAUAGGUUGUCAGCUGCUGGAUGCUGGGGGGUGUCACAUAGGAGCUAUUUGCCCACAAAUUGGAACAGUCCAGCCCUUAUCCUGCUAGUGUGCAAACGGCUUGGAAACCUUGUUCUGUCCUCGAAGCUGUAUUGUCCAUCACCAUAUGGGAUAAGGUGAUGUUUAACAACACCUCGUGUG
rnacentral:lncRNA from 1 species